CCGCUGGAGCAUGUGGUUUAAUUCGAUGCAACGCGAAGAACCUUACCUGGCCUUGACAUCCACGGAAUUUGGCAGAGAUGCCUUAGUGCCUUCGGGAACCGUGAGACAGGUGCCGCAUGGCGUCGUCAGCUCGUGUUGUGAAAUGUUGGGUUAAGUCCCGCAACGAGCGCACCCCUUAUCCUUUGUUGCCAGCGAUACGGUCGGGAACUCAAAGGAGACUGCCGGUGAUAAACCGGAGGAAGGUGGGGAUGACGUCAAGUCAUCAUGGCCCUUACGGCCAGGGCUACACACGUGCUACAAUGGCGCAUACAAAGAGAAGCGACCUCGCGAGAGCAAGCGGACCUCAUAAAGUGCGUCGUAGUCCGGAUCGGAGUCUGCAACUCGACUCCGUGAAGUCGGAAUCGCUAGUAAUCGUAGAUCAGAAUGCUACGGUGAAUACGUUCCCGGGCCUUGUACACACCGCCCGUCACACCAUGGGAGUGGGUUGCAAAAGAAGUAGGUAGCUUAACCUUCGGGAGGGCGCUUACCACUUUGUGAUUCAUGACUGGGGUGAAGUCGUAACAAGGUAACCAAGGGCGAAUUCCAG
rnacentral:rRNA from 1 species